CCUUCUCCCCUUUCUAUCUUGUACUAAGUUUCAGUGCCGUUGAAGCACGAGCGCCCCUCCUCUCCUCUGAGUUGCGCCGAACGAAGACGCCAUUGCCGCCGGCGAGCGCGUAAAUGUAGCGGUGUUGUGUUGUAGCUGCAGGGAACGACGAGGAACUACCCAAAAAAGCCGGCUAUCUUCUGCGCCUCAAGAAUCUUAGGCUGUGCGGUUGAAUAGAACCUGACCAUCAUCCUUUACAACUCAGGAUCUGAGCAACCAUGGAGUCCAUGGGAAGUGCUACUCUAAGCAUUGGGUCAACUACGGCAAUGGGAGUUGAAGAUGAUGCCAACAGCUUCGCCCUGGGCACGAUCCAUCAGGUCGAAAAUGAUGGAAAUAGCUACCACACGCCAACACGAACUAGGAGUCUUCCGUUUUGUAUAUGAGCCCGAGUGUGAUCCUAAUUUACAACCCAAAAUUGGUAUGCAAUUUGACACCUGGGAGGAAGGUAUGGCAUUCUACAAAAUGUAUGCUCAUGAAGUCGGGUUCUCAGUUCGCACAUGGACGACACACAAAGAUGAACAUGGUGUAGUGUGGAAGAGGUUCGUUUGUGCUAGGGAGGGUUGGAGGAAGGUGGCCCGCGAAGAGGAAAGAAUAAAGCCUAAGCGAAAAUUCAAGUUAACCAGGUGUGGUUGUGAGGCUAUGAUUGGAGGAAGGUGGCUUAAUGUAGAUUUGAAGAUUUGGUUUGCCUUUCUGUGUUACUGUCAAUUGUAGCCAGCUUGCUAUAUGCCAUGCUCAUGUGACUACUUUCUGAAUUAGUGCAACCUUAUUACUAUGUGUAUUGAGCACUGUCCAUUUAUUUUCCUCUGUUUUUUGUUGCUCUGUAUUUUAGCAUCAUCAUCUGAAAAUAUAUCAAGAUAAGUGAGAACAUAUUCAUCUGUAAUCCUAUUAAGGUAACCAUCACCAUGCUUUCUAUUUUAAGUUUGUGAACCUGGAAAUGGUAUGACUGGUAUAUCUCUUUUCAAGUAGCAAUGUUACUCUGGAUGCUCUUAUUUAGAUUGUAUAUGAAGGCAUGUCUCAUCUUCAUGUAACUACCCCGUGAUUGCUAAUUUUUUGACGUUGGCAAAAAAUGCAAAAUUUUCAUGUAAUUUAUUAUUCGUGCAAGUAGAAAGCUCGACAGAUAUAACUUAGUAAUAUUAAGUACAAAAGAAGCAACUUUAUUAGUAACUGUUGUGAUGAUUUUUGUUUGUAAGUGGACAAAAGAGCUUUUGUUUUGUAAAAUUUUACGGAGUUAAGAGUGGUCUUGAGCUUCCUGUAGUGAUUCUGGAGAAGCCUACCUAGGAUCAGAUUAGCUCAUCUGGUCUGGAGUAGUAGUCUUGAGUCUGGAGCCUGGAGUGCAUAACUUGAGCAGUGGCAAAAUUUACCUUUAUUAGCAAAUGACCAGGCAUGUUGAACCUUGGAAAUUAUUGAAUGAGGUUAGUUCUCGUGUUCUGCUCCAGGUACAUGUCUGGAGCUGGUUAAGUCCAAAUUGUUUCUCUCUGUAAUGUAUAGAAUUACUUAAGCUCAUGCCCCC